CCAUUGCUGUCGAGUCCCAAACAGGAGGAAACAGCUGUCCAAUGC
rfam:Echinostoma caproni strain Egypt genome assembly, scaffold: ECPE_scaffold0000851